rnacentral:rRNA from 1 species
GUACACGCUGUGACUAGCAUAUCAAUAAGCGGAAGGAAAAGAAACUAACAAGGAUUCCCUUAGUAACGGCGAGUGAAGCGGGAAGAGCUCAAAUUUGAAAUCUUCAAGGUUUUACCUUGACGAAUUGUAGUUUAGAGAAGUGUUUUCUGCUGAAGUUUUGGUAAAAGUUCUUUGGAAUAGGACAUCAUAGAGGGUGAGAAUCCCGUAUUUGACCAUUAUUUUCAGCUUUGUGAUACACUUUCAAAGAGUCGGGAUUGUUUGGGAAUGCAGUCCAAAAUGGGUGGUAAAUUUCAUCUAAAGCUAAAUAUUGGCGAGAGACCGAUAGCGAACAAGUACCGUGAGGGAAAGAUGAAAAGAACUUUGAAAAGAGAGUUAAACAGUACGUGAAAUUGUCAAAAGGGAAGCGUUUGACACCAGUGUUGUUUUCUCGAAAAUCAAUUAAAAAUGGCUCGAUUUUGUAUUGCUGGGACCUUAAAAGCUCACUGUACAUUUUUCGUGUCAUUUUUAAUGCACUUUUCGUUUAACAAGUCAACAUCAAUUUCUUUUGUUGUAAAAGGGUCAUUGGAAGGUGGCUUUCUUUUCGGAGAAAGUGUUUAUAGCCUUUGGCCUCUGCAAUCGAAGAGACUGAGGUCUGCAGCGUAGACUCUUCGGGGUUAGAUACAUUUGUGCUAAGUUAUAGCUUUUUAUAGACAACUUGUUGACUAUAAUUAGUCUUGUAGCUUACUCGCUUAUGCUAUUUUACCUACGCUUAGGAUGUUGAUCUACAGAGCGAGAGU